rnacentral:rRNA from 1 species
UCCUGGCUUAGGACGAACGCUGGCGGCGUGCCUAAUACAUGCAAGUCGAACGGUCUUUCUAUGGAAGCUUGCUUCCACUGAGAAGAUAGUGGCGAACGGGUGAGUAACACGUGGGUAACCUGCCCAUAAGAGGGGGAUAACAUCCGGAAACGGGUGCUAAUACCGCAUAGUUUUCUUGAUCGCAUGAUUGAGAAAGGAAAGACGGCCUUUGUGCUGUCGCUUAUGGAUGGACCCGCGGCGUAUUAGUUAGUUGGUGAGGUAACGGCUCACCAAGACGAUGAUACGUAGCCGACCUGAGAGGGUGAUCGGCCACAUUGGGACUGAGACACGGCCCAAACUCCUACGGGAGGCAGCAGUAGGGAAUCUUCCGCAAUGGACGAAAGUCUGACGGAGCAACGCCGCGUGAGUGAAGAAAGGUUUUCGGAUCGUAAAACUCUGUUGUCAGAGAAGAACAAGUUGGAGAGUAACUGCUCCAGCCUUGACGGUAUCUGACCAGAAAGCCACGGCUAACUACGUGCCAGCAGCCGC